rnacentral:rRNA from 1 species
ACGCUGUGGGAUGCUUAGUACGGCGAGUGAAGCGGCAAAAGCUCAAAUUUGAAAUCUGGUACCUUCGGUGCCCGAGUUGUAAUUUGGAGAGGGCAACUUUGGGGCCGUUCCUUGUCUAUGUUCCUUGGAACAGGACGUCAUAGAGGGUGAGAAUCCCGUGUGGCGAGGAGUGCGGUUCUUUGUAAAGUGCCUUCGAAGAGUCGAGUUGUUUGGGAAUGCAGCUCUAAGUGGGUGGUAAAUUCCAUCUAAAGCUAAAUAUUGGCGAGAGACCGAUAGCGAACAAGUACAGUGAUGGAAAGAUGAAAAGAACUUUGAAAAGAGAGUGAAAAAGUACGUGAAAUUGUUGAAAGGGAAGGGCAUUUGAUCAGACAUGGUGUUUUGUGCCCUCUGCUCCUUGUGGGUAGGGGAAUCUCGCAUUUCACUGGGCCAGCAUCAGUUUUGGUGGCAGGAUAAAUCCAUAGGAAUGUAGCUUGCCUCGGUAAGUAUUAUAGCCUGUGGGAAUACUGCCAGCUGGGACUGAGGACUGCGACGUAAGUCAAGGAUGCUGGCAUAAUGGUUAUAUGCCGCCCGUCUUGAACCAA